rnacentral:rRNA from 1 species
UGGGGAAUAUUGCACAAUGGGCGCAAGCCUGAUGCAGCCAUGCCGCGUGUGUGAAGAAGGCCUUCGGGUUGUAAAGCACUUUCAGCGAGGAGGAAGGUGGUGAGCUUAAUACGCUCAUCAAUUGACGUUACUCGCAGAAGAAGCACCGGCUAACUCCGUGCCAGCAGCCGCGGUAAUACGGAGGGUGCAAGCGUUAAUCGGAAUUACUGGGCGUAAAGCGCACGCAGGCGGUUUGUUAAGUCAGAUGUGAAAUCCCCCGGGCUCAACCUGGGAACUGCAUUUGAAACUGGCAAGCUAGAGUCUCGUAGAGGGGGGUAGAAUUCCAGGUGUAGCGGUGAAAUGCGUAGAGAUCUGGAGGAAUACCGGUGGCGAAGGCGGCCCCCCUGGACGAAGACUGACGCUCAGGUGCGAAAGCGUGGGGAGCAAACAGGAUUAGAUACCCCUGGUAGUCCACGCUGUAAAACGAUGUCGAUUUGGAGGUUGUGCCCCUUGAGGCGUGGCUUCCGGAGCUAACGCGUUAAAUCGACCGCCUGGGGGAGUACGGCCGCAAGGUUAGAACUCAAAUGAAUUGAC